rnacentral:rRNA from 1 species
CCUACGGGGUGCUGCAGUGGGGAAUCUUCCGCAAUGGGCGCAAGCCUGACGGAGCAAUGCCGCGUGAACGAAGAAGGUCUUCGGAUUGUAAAGUUCUGUCCUUAUCGAAGAGAGGGUAUAGAGUGAAAAAUGAUAUACUAGGACGGUAGAUGAGGAGGAAGCCCCGGCUAACUACGUGCCAGCAGCCGCGGUAAUACGUAGGGGGCGAGCGUUGUCCGGAAUCACUGGGCGUAAAGGGCGCGUAGGCGGUAAUAUAAGUCAGAUGUGAAAGGUGGGGGCUCAACCCGUGAACUGCAUUUGAAACUGUUUCCCUUGAGUGUCGGAGAGGUAAUCGGAAUUCCUUGUGUAGCGGUGAAAUGCGUAGAUAUAAGGAAGAACACCAGUGGCGAAGGCGGAUUACUGGACGAUAACUGACGUUGAGGCACGAAAGCGUGGGUAGCAAACAGGAUUAGAUACCCUGGUAGUC